AUUGAACGCUGGCGGCAUGCCUUACACAUGCAAGUCGAACGGUAACAGGUCUUCGGAUGCUGACGAGUGGCGAACGGGUGAGUAAUACAUCGGAACGUGCCUAGUAGUGGGGGAUAACUACUCGAAAGAGUGGCUAAUACCGCAUGAGAUCUACGGAUGAAAGCAGGGGAUCGCAAGACCUUGUGCUACUAGAGCGGCCGAUGGCAGAUUAGGUAGUUGGUGGGAUAAAAGCUUACCAAGCCGACGAUCUGUAGCUGGUCUGAGAGGACGAUCAGGCACAAUGGGACUGAGACACGGCCCAGACUCCUACGGGAGGCAGCAGUGGGGAAUUUUGGACAAUGGGCGAAAGCCUGAUCCAGCAAUGCCGCGUGCAGGAUGAAGGCCUUCGGGUUGUAAACUGCUUUUGUACGGAACGAAAAGCCCCGGGUUAAUACCCUGGGGUCAUGACGGUGCCGUAAGAAUAAGCACCGGCUAACUACGUGCCAGCCGCCGCCGUAA
rnacentral:rRNA from 1 species